rnacentral:rRNA from 1 species
UACGGGGGGGGGCAAGCGUUGUUCGGAAUUACUGGGCGUAAAGGGCUCGUAGGUGGCCAACUAAGUCAGACGUGAAAUCCCUCGGCUUAACCGGGGAACUGCGUCUGAUACUGGAUGGCUUGAGAUUGGGAGAGGGAUGCGGAAUUCCCGGUGUAGCGGUGGAAUGCGUAGAGAUCGGGAAGAAUACCCGUGGCGAAGGCGGCCAGCUGGGCCAGGUCCGACACUGAGGCGCGAAAGCGUGGGGAGCAAACAGG